rnacentral:rRNA from 1 species
GAUGAACGCUGGCGGCGUGCCUAAUACAUGCAAGUCGAGCGAACAGACGAGGAGCUUGCUCCUCUGACGUUAGCGGCGGACGGGUGAGUAACACGUGGAUAACCUACCUAUAAGACUGGGAUAACUUCGGGAAACCGGAGCUAAUACCGGAUAAUAUAUUGAACCGCAUGGUUCAAUAGUGAAAUACGGUUUUUCUGUCACUUAUAGAUGGAUCCGCGCCGCAUUAGCUAGUUGGUAAGGUAACGGCUUACCAAGGCAACGAUGCGUAGCCGACCUGAGAGGGUGAUCGGCCACACUGGAACUGAGACACGGUCCAGGCGCCUACGGGAGGGAGCAGUAGGGAAUCUUCCGCAAUGGGCGAGAGCCUGACGGAGCAACACCGCGUGAGUGAUGAAGGUCUUCGGAUCGUAAGACUCUGUUAUUAGGGAAGAACAAAUGUGUAAGUAACUAUGCACGUCUUGACGGUACCUAAUCAGAAAGCCACGGCUAACUACGUG